GAUGAAGAACGCAGUGAAAUGCGAUAAGUAAUGUGAAUUGCAGAAUUCAGUGAAUCAUCGAAUCUUUGAACGCACAUUGCGCCCGCCAGUAUUCUGGCGGGCAUGCCUGUUCGAGCGUCAUUUCAACCAUCAAGCCCCAGGCUUGUGUUGGGGACCUGCGGCUGCCGCAGGCCCUGAAAACCAGUGGCGGGCUCGCUGUCACACCGGGCGUAGUAGAUUUUAUCUCGCUCAGGGCGUGCUGCGGGUUCCGGCCGUUAAAAAGCCUUUUUUACCCAAGGUUGACCUCGGAUCAGGUAGGAAGACCCGCUGAACUUAAGCAUAUCAAUAAGCGGAGGAA
rnacentral:misc_RNA from 1 species